UACGUAGGUGGCAAGCGUUGUCCGGAUUUACUGGGCGUAAAGGAUGCGUAGGCGGACAUUUAAGUCAGACGUGAAAUCCCUCAGCUUAACUGGGGAACUGCGUCUGAUACUGGAUGGCUUGAGUUUGGGAGAGGGAUGCGGAAUUCCAGGUGUAGCGGUGAAAUGCGUAGAUAUCUGGAGGAACACCGGUGGCGAAGGCGGCAUCCUGGACCAACACUGACACUGAGGAGCGAAAGCCAGGGGAGCAAAGCGGG
rnacentral:rRNA from 1 species